UGGGGAAUAUUGGACAAUGGGCGCAAGCCUGAUGCAGCAACGCCGCGUGAGUGAUGAAGGCCUUCGGGUUGUAAAGCUCUGUUGAGGGAGAAGAAAACAGUUAGAACUAAUAUGUCUAGCUCUUGACGGUAUCCCUUUAGAAAGCACCGGCUAACUCCGUGCCAGCAGCCGCGGUCAUACGGAGGGGGCUAGCGUUGUUCGGAAUUACUGGGCGUAAAGCGCGCGUAGGCGGCUUUGUAAGUUAGGGGUGAAAGCCCGGAGCUCAACUCCGGAACUGCCUUUAAGACUGCAUCGCUAGAACGAUGGAGAGGUGAGUGGAAUUCCGAGUGUAGAGGUGAAAUUCGUAGAUAUUCGGAAGAACACCAGUGGCGAAGGCGACUCACUGGACAUCUGUUGACGCUGAGGUGCGAAAGCGUGGGGAGCAAA
rnacentral:rRNA from 1 species